rnacentral:rRNA from 1 species
AUUGAACGCUGGCGGCAUGCCUUACACAUGCAAGUCGAACGGUAACAGGUCUUCGGAUGCUGACGAGUGGCGAACGGGUGAGUAAUACAUCGGAACGUGCCUAGUAGUGGGGGAUAACUACUUGAAAGAGUGGCUAAUACCGCAUGAGAUCUACGGAUGAAAGCAGGGGAUCGCAAGACCUUGUGCUACUAGAGCGGCCGAUGGCAGAUUAGGUAGUUGGUGGGAUAAAAGCUUACCAAGCCGACGAUCUGUAGCUGGUCUGAGAGGACGAUCAGCCACACUGGGACUGAGACACGGCCCAGACUCCUACGGGAGGCAGCAGUGGGGAAUUUUGGACAAUGGGCGAAAGCCUGAUCCAGCAAUGCCGCGUGCAGGAUGAAGGCCUUCGGGUUGUAAACUGCUUUUGUACGGAACGAAAAGCCCCGGGUUAAUACCCUGGGGUCAUGACGGUACCGUAAGAGUAAGCACCGGCUAACUACGUGCCAGCAGCCGCCGUAA